ACAAUUCUAAUUCUAGCUUGCCAUCCAUCUAGACCGUUGAUUUGCACUUCAAAUCCUUGUAAUAAACUAAAAGGGUUCCAAUUAACAAUAAUACAUGAGGUCAAUCAUUCAAUUAGCAUCUAAAUUAGGAAGAACUAUAGUAUGAGAAUACAUAAACACUAUUAUUGAAAUAUUUAAAUAUGCAAAUAUUCAAAUUUUAGUAUCUUAAAUAUUAUUAUUCUAUUUAUGUAUAAAUUAUUUAUUUUAUAAAUAGCUAAUUAUCUUUUGAAAUAUUUUUUUAGGAUAAUACAUAUGGAAGAUUGUUGGAAUAAUGAGUAAGAGAA
rnacentral:lncRNA from 1 species